CCGCAUCUGUGCAUGCAGCAUAUCAAUAAGCGGAGGAAAAGUCAACUACCUACGCUUAGGAUGUUGACGAGACUGUCGAUCUCAUCUAUACAUGACUCUGUGCAUAUCAAUAAGCGGAGGAAAAGGCUGCGGAACUGAGCGACCGCUACCUACGCUUAGGAUGUUGACGAGACUGUCGAUCUCAUCUAUACAUGACUAUGGCAUAUCAAUAAGCGGAGGAAAAGAAACUAACAAGGAUUCCCCUAGUAACGGCGAGUGAAGCGGGAAGAGCUCAAAUUUGAAAUCUUAAAGGGUUUCCCUUUACGAAUUGUAGUUUAAAGAAGUGUUUUCUGUUGAGGUUUUGGUAAAAGUUCUUUGGAAUAGGACAUCAUAGAGGGUGAGAAUCCCGUAUUUGACCUUUACUUUCAACUUUGUGAUACACUUUCAAAGAGUCGGAUUGUUUGGGAAUGCAGUCCAAAAUGGGUGGUAAAUUUCAUCUAAAGCUAAAUAUUGGCGAGAGACCGAUAGCGAACAAGUACCGUGAGGGAAAGAUGAAAAGAACUUUGAAAAGAGAGUUAAACAGUACGUGAAAUUGUCAAAAGGGAAGCGUUUGACACCAGUGUUGUUUUUCUGAAAAUCAAUUAAAGAACUGUUUAUGCUAAGCUGUUUAGACUUUAUCAGCUAACCUGUUUAGUUUUGAGCUUUUCUUUAAUGCACUUUUCAGUUAACAAGUCAACAUCAAUUUCUUUUGCUGUAAAAAAGCUUGAGGAAGGUGGCUUGAGAUUCGUCUUAAGUGUUUAUAGCCUCUUGCCUAUGCAGUCGGAGAGAUUGAGGUCUGCAGCGUAGAUCCUUCGGGGCUAAAUGCAUUUGUGCUAAGUUAUAGCAUUUUAUAGACAACUUGUUGACUAUGAUUUGUCUUGUAGCUUACUCGCUUAUGUUAUUUUACCUACGCUUAGGAUGUUGACGAGACUGUCGAUCUC
rnacentral:rRNA from 1 species